rnacentral:tRNA from 1 species
GAUUUAGCUCAGCUUGGUAGAGCGCUUGGUUUGGGACCAAGAUGUCGUAGGUUCGAAUCCUAUAAUC